rnacentral:tRNA from 1 species
GGCCUCAUCGUCUAAAGGUUAGGACACCGCUCUUUCAAGGCGGCAAUGGCGGUUCGAUUCCGCCUGGGGCCACCA